UUUUAGUCUUAUUAGAGGAACCUGUUUUUUAAUUGAUAAUCCACGAUUUAUUUUACUUAUUUUUUAAAAUUCAUAUAUCGCUGUCAUGAAUAUAUUAAAAAAUUUAUUUUCNUNUAUUAAUUUAUUAANNUAUGUUAAGUCAAGAUGUGGUUUAUAAAUAAGAAAAUAAUGGGUUACAUUAAAUUUUAUUUUUAGAUUUUACAUGAAAAUUAAAAUGAAAUUNAAUUUAAUAGUAAAUUUAUUUAUUUUAAUAAUAUGAAUAAAGAUCUAAAAUAUGUACAUAUUGCCCGUCAUUCUUAUAAAAAAUAAGACAAGUCGUAACAAAGUAAAUGUACUGGAAAGUGUAUUUAGAAAGAUUAAAAAA
rnacentral:rRNA from 1 species